GUCUGGCUCAGACGACGCUGCGGCGUGCUUAACACAUGCAAGUCGAACGGUGAAGGGACCGGUUUUUGCUGGUUCUGGAUGAGUGGCGAACGGGUGAGUAACACGUGAGUAACCUGCCCCUUCUUCUGGAUAACCGCAUGAAAGUGUGGCUAAUACGGGAUAUUCUGCGCCUGCUGCAUGGUGGGUGUGGGAAAGAUAUUGCUUCGGUGGGGGAUGGGCUCGCGGCCUAUCAGCUUGUUGGUGGGUGAUGGCCUACCAAGGCGGUGACGGGUAGCCGGCCUGAGAGGGUGGACGGUCACACUGGGACUGAGACACGGCCCAGACUCCUACGGGAGGCAGCAGUGGGGAAUAUUGCACAAUGGGCGCAAGCCUGAUGCAGCGACGCCGCGUGAGGGAUGGAGGCCUUCGGGUUGUAAACCUCUUUCGCCAGUGAAGCAGGCCCGCCUCUUUUGUGGGUGGGUUGACGGUAGCUGGAUAAGAAGCGCCGGCUAACUACGUG
rnacentral:rRNA from 1 species